rnacentral:lncRNA from 1 species
GGAGUUUGGGCCUCUACCCAGUAACCGGUAGUUGUAAGUCCUAUGUUCCUUUUCCCUCUUGGCGGAAUUUGUGGUUAUAUACCUUUUAUUCCUCAGGAGAGUUGUUGGUUUUCUACCUAGUACCCGGUAGUUGUAAACCCUGUAUACCUUUUUUCCUCUUGUGGGAUAGGUGUUUGUGAACAUUCUUUGUUCCUCAUCAAGAGUCGAUGGUCUUCUACCCCGUAUUCCGUAG